rnacentral:SRP_RNA from 1 species
CCGUGCUCGAUGGGGAGUUAGCGGUGCCCUGUAACCUGCAAUCCGCAACAGCAGUAUCGAAGUCCUCAUAGAGGCUCUAACUUGUGGAGUCUGCCCUAUGUAAGUGGUGUUGAGAGUUGGGCCCCACGCAAUGGAAACCUGUGAACCUCGUCAGUUCCGGAAGGAAGCAGCGAUAAGCAGUCAUUUUCAUGUGCCGUGGAUACGUCUGGC